UACGGGGGGAGCAAGCGUUGUUCGGAUUUACUGGGCGUAAAGGGCGCGUAGGCGGCGUCACAAGUCACUUGUGAAAUCUCCGGGCUUAACUCGGAACUGCCAAGUGAUACUGUCGUGCUAGAGUGCAGAAGGGGCAAUCGGAAUUCUUGGUGUAGCGGUGAAAUGCGUAGAUAUCAAGAGGAACACCAGAGGCGAAGGCGGAUUGCUGGGCUGACACUGACGCUGAGGCGCGAAAGCUAGGGGUAGCAAACGGG
rnacentral:rRNA from 1 species